rnacentral:rRNA from 1 species
AGAGUUUGAUCCUGGCUCAGAACGAACGCUGGCGGCGUGGAUAAGACAUGCAAGUCGAACGGGACAACAUUGGUAGCAAUAUUAGUGUUGUCCAGUGGCGCAAGGGUGCGUAACACGUGGGCAAUCUGCCGAGAAGUGGGGGAUAGCUCGCCGAAAGGCGAAUUAAUACCGCAUGCGGUCAGCGAGUGCAUACUCGCGAAACCAAAGCCGGGGCAACCUGGCGCUUCUUGAUGGGCCCGCGGCCUAUCAGCUAGUUGGUAAGGUAACGGCUUACCAAGGCUAUGACGGGUAGCUGGUCUGAGAGGACGACCAGCCACACUGGAACUGAGACACGGUCCAGACACCUACGGGUGGCAGCAGUCGAGAAUUUUUCUCAAUGGGGGAAACCCUGAAGGAGCGACGCCGCGUGAAGGAUGAAGGUCUUCGGAUUGUAAACUUCUGUCAUUAGAGAACAAUUGCCGCCGAGUAACUACCGGCGGUUUGAUAGUAUCUGAAGAGGAAGAGACGGCUAACUCUGUGCCAGCAGCCGCGGUAAUACAGAGGUCUCAAGCGUUGUUCGGAUUCAUUGGGCGUAAAGGGUGCGUAGGUGGCGAGGUAAGUUGGAUGUGAAAUCCCGGGGCUUAACCCCGGAACUGCAUUCAAUACUGCCCUGCUCGAGUACUGGAGAGGAGAUUGGAAUUUACGGUGUAGCAGUGAAAUGCGUAGAUAUCGUAAGGAAGACCGGUGGCGAAGGCGGAUCUCUGGACAGUAACUGACACUGAGGCACGAAGGCCAGGGGAGCAAACGGGAUUAGAUACCCCGGUAGUCCUGGCAG